GUCGAGCGAAUCUGAGGGAGCUUGCUCCCGAGAUUAGCGGCGGACGGGUGAGUAACACGUGGGCAACCUGCCUGUAAGACUGGGAUAACUUCGGGAAACCGGAGCUAAUACCGGAUAAUCCUUUCCCUCACAUGAGGGAAAGCUGAAAGACGGCUUCUAGCUGUCACUUACAGAUGGGCCCGCGGCGCAUUAGCUAGUUGGUGAGGUAACGGCUCACCAAGGCCACGAUGCGUAGCCGACCUGAGAGGGUGAUCGGCCACACUGGGACUGAGACACGGCCCAGACUCCUACGGGAGGCAGCAGUAGGGAAUCUUCCGCAAUGGACGAAAGUCUGACGGAGCAACGCCGCGUGAGUGAUGAAGGUUUUCGGAUCGUAAAACUCUGUUGUUAGGGAAGAACAAGUAUCGGAGUAACUGCCGGUACCUUGACGGUACCUAACCAGAAAGCCACGGCUAACUACGUGCCAGCAGCCGCGGUAAUACGUAGGUGGCAAGCGUUGUCCGGAAUUAUUGGGCGUAAAGCGCGCGCAGGUGGUUCCUUAAGUCUGAUGUGAAAGCCCACGGCUCAACCGUGGAGGGUCAUUGGAAACUGGGGAACUUGAGUGCAGAAGAGGAAAGUGGAAUUCCAAGUGUAGCGGUGAAAUGCGUAGAGAUUUGGAGGAACACCAGUGGCGAAGGCGACUUUUCUGGUCUGU
rnacentral:rRNA from 1 species